rnacentral:rRNA from 1 species
GACGAACGCUGGCGGCGUGCUUAACACAUGCAAGUCGAACGGAAAGGCCCUGCUUUUGUGGGGUGCUCGAGUGGCGAACGGGUGAGUAACACGUGAGUAACCUGCCCUUGACUUUGGGAUAACUUCAGGAAACUGGGGCUAAUACCGGAUAGGAGCUCCUGCUGCAUGGUGGGGGUUGGAAAGUCUCGGCGGUUGGGGAUGGACUCGCGGCUUAUCAGCUUGUUGGUGGGGGAGUGGCUUACCAAGGCUUUGACGGGUAGCCGGCCUGGGAGGGUGACCGGCCACAUUGGGACUGCGAGACGGCCCAGACUCCUACGGGAGGCAGCAGGGGGGAAUAUUGCACAAUGGGCGGAAGCCUGAUGCAGCAACGCCGCGUGCGGGAUGACGGCCUUCGGGGUGUAAACCGCUUUCGCCUGUGACGAAGCGUGAGUGACGGUAAUGGGUAAAGAAGCACCGGCUAACUACGUG